UAAUGUGAGGUAUGUAUUUCUGUAUUUCCAAUUUUAUAAUUUCAUUUAUGUAAAUAUUCGUCUCAUAACUUAUAUAUUUAAGAAUAUUCGGCUGUUGCGACUAUUCUUUCGUCUAUAUGAGUGUUUUAUCUGUCAAAGGUGAAGCUUUGUCGGAUGUGUCCACACCCUCCGCACCCACGAGCGGCCUCAAUUAGCUCUCGGCAUGACGUCAGUAAGGUGACAUGGGCGCUGCAUGCUAUUAAGGGGCUGCAUGAGCUGCACAUUGCAUGCAUUAUCCCCCUUCUCUCUCAGCAUUUGAAGAGGAUUGUGCAGCGGGCCCUGGUCCGUCCGGUCCGGCUCGAUCGGGCUCGGUUCCGCUCCUCUGCAGGGCUGCAGCUCUGCUGACUGACAGAGAGAUGAGGGGUGGGGACGCAGGGUGGGGUCACAAGCAGGGAGAGGCGGAGGAGGAAAAGGCAGAGAGAGAGAGCCCAGCCCUUGAAUACACGGCAACAACAAGCCGACUCAGAGAGGGAGAGACGCAGAAAGCCCCGGCCGUAUUUCUGAUUUUGUUUUGGGGGGAUGAAGCUCAGGGAGCCGUCGACGCUGCUGCGGACAUGAACUGAAAAGACACACUGGAAGAGGCGGGAAUCGGUGUUCCUAUAUAUCCCGAAAAUUCACAGUAAAGGUGGAAAAAAAAAAAAUAGCACCGCCCCAAAAAAAGAGCGAACCUCCUGUCUCCCCUCUGACAGUUCUUGUUCAGAUAGUGCUACACCCAAAGCCCCGAUCGACCCCCUCCUGCUCCUGCUGCUCCACCCCUCCGCCGCUGCACCGCUCCGGCAACCGAGAUGCACACGGAGACCCGUAACAAGAAAGGUAAAGGCUACAGACUUGCACAGUUUCUCAUAAAAAUGAUAAGGGAUUCAGCUGAAAAUAGAAAUGAAACCAAAUAAGACUGAGGUCAUCUGUUCUCCAUGGUUUUCCCUCACCUUUUUCCCUGUGACUACAUCGUUGUGAGGUCGGGCUUUUGAACUGGAGUCCCAGCUGGUGGUUGUCUGAAACCGUUACUCCACUUGACUUGAUAAAACUCUGAAGUCUGUUUCACUGUUGGGUUCCUGUAAAUAAAAGAUUCAUAAAACAGGA